UACGGAGGGGGCUAGCGUUGUUCGGAAUUACUGGGCGUAAAGCGUGCGUAGCCGGUUAUGUAAGUCAGAUGUGAAAGCCCCGGGCUCAACCUGGGAAUUGCAUUUGAGACUGCAUAGCUAGGGUGCGGAAGAGGGAAGCGGAAUUUCCGGUGUAGCGGUGAAAUGCGUAGAUAUCGGAAGGAACACCAGUGGCGAAAGCGGCUUCCUGGUCCAGCACCGACGUUCAGGCACGAAAGCGUGGGGAGCAAACAGG
rnacentral:rRNA from 1 species